rnacentral:misc_RNA from 1 species
CCAAUAGCGUAUAUUAAAGUUGUUGCAGUUAAAAAGCUCGUAGUUGAAUUUCGAGAUCGGCUUACUGGUCGUGCUUUUGUACGUACUGGUAAAUCGGUUUCUCCUUUCUGACGAACUUUAAUGCCAUUAAUUUGGUGUUUUAGGGAAUCAGGACUGUUACUUUGAAAAAAUUAGAGUGUUUAAAGCAGGCUCACGCUUGAAUACAUUAGCAUGGAAAAACGGAAUAGGACGUUUGAUUCUAUUUUGUUGGUUUCUAGGAUCGACGUAAUGAUUAAUAGGGAUAGUUAGGGGCAUUAGUAUUCAAUUGUCAGAGGUGAAAUUCUUGGAUUUAUUGAAGACUAACUACUGCGAAAGCAUUUGCCAAGGAUGUUUUCAUUAAUCAAGAACGAAAGUUAGGGGAUCGAAGACGAUCAGAUACCGUCGUAGUCUUAACCAUAAACUAUGCCGACUAGGGAUCGGAUGAUGUUAAUUUUUUAAUGACUCAUUCGGCGCCUUACG